rnacentral:rRNA from 1 species
UGCCCAAGAGAUCGGGAUAACACCUGGAAACAGAUGCUAAUACCGGAUAACAACAGAUGAUGCCUAUCAACUGUUUAAAAGAUGGUUCUGCUAUCACUCUUGGAUGGACCUGCGGUGCAUUAGCUAGUUGGUAGGGUAACGGCCUACCAAGGCGAUGAUGCAUAGCCGAGUUGAGAGACUGAUCGGCCACAUUGGGACUGAGACACGGCCCAAACUCCUACGGGACGCAGCAGCC